rnacentral:rRNA from 1 species
GACGAACGCUGGCGGCGUGCUUAACACAUGCAAGUCGAACGGAAAGGCCCUGCUUUUGUGGGGUGCUCGAGUGGCGAACGGGUGAGUAACACGUGAGUAACCUGCCCUUGACUUUGGGAUAACUUCAGGAAACUGGGGCUAAUACCGGAUAGGAGCUCCUGCUGCAUGGUGGGGGUUGGAAAGUUUCGGCGGUUGGGGAUGGACUCGCGGCUUAUCAGCUUGUUGGUGGGGUAGUGGCUUACCAAGGCUUUGACGGGUAGCCGGCCUGAGAGGGUGACCGGCCACAUUGGGACUGCGAUACGGCCCAGACUCCUACGGGAGGCAGCAGUGGGGAAUAUUGCACAAUGGGCGGAAGCCUGAUGCAGCAACGCCGCGUGCGGGAUGACGGCCUUCGGGUUGUAAACCGCUUUCUCCGGUGACGAAGCGUGAGUGACGGUAAUGGGUAAAGAAGCACCGGCUAACUACGUG